AGUCAAGUAAUUAAGUGCAUGUGGUGGAUGCCUUGGCAGUCAGAGGCGAUGAAAGACGUGAUAGCCUGCGAAAAGCUCCGGGGAGGCGGCAAAUAUCCUUUGAUCCGGAGAUGUCUGAAUGGGGAACCCACCUACUUUAAGGUAGGUAUUGCAACAUGAAUACAUAGUGUUGCAAGGCGAACGAGGGGAAGUGAAACAUCUCAGUACCCUUAGGAAAAGAAAUCAAUUGAGAUUCCCUCAGUAGCGGCGAGCGAACGGGGAUCAGCCCAUUAAGUUAUGUGUGUUUUAGUGGAACGCUCUGGGAAGUGCGAACGUAGAGGGUGAUAUUCCCGUACACGAAAGGGCACACAUAAUGAUGACGAGUAGGGCGAGGCACGUGAAACCUUGUCUGAAUAUGGGGGGACCAUCCUCCAAGGCUAAAUACUCCUGACUGACCGAUAGUGAACCAGUACCGUGAGGGAAAGGCGAAAAGAACCCCUGUGAGGGGAGUGAAAUAGAUCCUGAAACCGCAUGCAUACAAGCAGUGGGAGCACCUUCGUGGUGUGACUGCGUACCUUUUGUAUAAUGGGUCAGCGACUUAUAUUCAGUAGCGAGGUUAACCGUAUAGGGGAGCCGUAGAGAAAUCGAGUCUUAAUAGGGCGUUUAGUUGCUGGGUAUAGACCCGAAACCAGGCGAUCUAUCCAUGAGCAGGUUGAAGGUUGGGUAACACUAACUGGAGGACCGAACCCACUGUCGUUGAAAAGCCAGGGGAUGACUUGUGGAUAGGGGUGAAAGGCUAAUCAAGCCUGGUGAUAGCUGGUUCUCCCCGAAAGCUAUUUAGGUAGCGCCUCGGACGAAUACCAUAGGGGGUAGAGCACUGUUUCGGCUAGGGGUCAUCCCGACUUACCAAACCGAUGCAAACUCCGAAUACCUAUGAGUACUAUCCGGGAGACAGACUGCGGGUGCUAACGUCCGUAGUCAAGAGGAAAACAAUCCAGACCGCCAGCUAAGGCCCCAAAAUCAUAGUUAAGUGGGAAACGAUGUGGGAAGGCAUAGACAGCUAGGAGGUUGGCUUAGAAGCAGCCACCCUUUAAAGAAAGCGUAAUAGCUCACUAGUCGAGUCGGCCUGCGCGGAAGAUGUAACGGGGCUAAAACUAUGUGCCGAAGCUGCGGAUGUAUACUUUGUAUACGUGGUAGGGGAGCGUUCUGUAAGCCGAUGAAGGUGUGUUGAGAAGCAUGCUGGAGGUAUCAGAAGUGCGAAUGCUGACGUGAGUAACGACAAAACGGGUGAAAAACCCGUUCGCCGAAAGACCAAGGGUUCCAGUCCAACGUUAAUCGGGGCUGGGUGAGUCGACCCCUAAGGCGAGGCCGAAAGGCGUAGUCGAUGGGAAAAUGGUUAAUAUUCCAUUACUUCUGUGUAAUGCGAUGAGAGGACGGAGAAGGCUAAAUCAGCCUGGCGUUGGUUGUCCAGGUGAAAGGAUGUAGGCAUGUAUCUUAGGCAAAUCCGGGGUACUCUAUGCUGAGAUCUGAUAGCAAGCUGUACUUGUACAGCGAAGUGGUUGAUGCCAUGCUUCCAGGAAAAGUCUCUAAGCUUCAGUUACACAGGAAUCGUACCCGAAACCGACACAGGUGGUCAGGUCGAGUAGACCAAGGCGCUUGAGAGAACUCUGCUGAAGGAACUAGGCAAAAUGGUACCGUAACUUCGGGAGAAGGUACGCUGUUGUUGGUGAUGGAACUCGCUUCCUGAGCUGACGACAGCCGCAGAAACCAGGCCGCUGCAACUGUUUAUUAAAAACAUAGCACUCUGCAAACACGAAAGUGGACGUAUAGGGUGUGAUGCCUGCCCGGUGCUGGAAGGUUAAUUGAUGGGGUUAGCGUAAGCGAAGCUCUUGAUCGAAGCCCCAGUAAACGGCGGCCGUAACUAUAACGGUCCUAAGGUAGCGAAAUUCCUUGUCGGGUAAGUUCCGACCUGCACGAAUGGCAUAAUGAUGGCGGCGCUGUCUCCAGCAGAGGCUCAGUGAAAUCGAAAUCGCUGUGAAGAUGCAGUGUACCCGCGGCUAGACGGAAAGACCCCGUGAACCUUUACUGCAGCUUGACACUGAACUUUGACCUUACUUGUGUAGGAUAGGUGGGAGGCUUUGAAGCUGGAACGCUAGUUCCAGUGGAGCCGUCCUUGAAAUACCACCCUGGUAAUGUUGAGGUUCUAACUCUGUCCCGUGAUCCGGGACGAGGACCGUGUCUGGUGGGUAGUUUGACUGGGGCGGUCUCCUCCUAAAGAGUAACGGAGGAGUACGAAGGUGCGCUCAGCGUGGUCGGAAAUCACGCGUAGAGUAUAAAGGCAAAAGCGCGCUUAACUGCGAGACCCACAAGUCGAGCAGGUACGAAAGUAGGUCUUAGUGAUCCGGUGGUUCUGUAUGGAAGGGCCAUCGCUCAACGGAUAAAAGGUACUCUGGGGAUAACAGGCUGAUACCGCCCAAGAGUUCAUAUCGACGGCGGUGUUUGGCACCUCGAUGUCGGCUCAUCUCAUCCUGGGGCUGAAGCAGGUCCCAAGGGUAUGGCUGUUCGCCAUUUAAAGAGGUACGCGAGCUGGGUUUAGAACGUCGUGAGACAGUUCGGUCCCUAUCUACCGUGGGCGCUGGAAAUUUGAGAGGAUCUGCUCCUAGUACGAGAGGACCAGAGUGGACGAACCUCUGGUGUACCGGUUGUGACGCCAGUCGCAUCGCCGGGUAGCUAUGUUCGGAAGGGAUAACCGCUGAAAGCAUCUAAGCGGGAAGCCUACCUCAAGAUAAGAUUUCCCUAGGACUUUAUGUCCUCUAAAGAGCCGUUCGAGACUAGGACGUUGAUAGGUUGGAUGUGGAAGCAUAGUGAUAUGUGAAGCUGACCAAUACUAAUUGCUCGUGAGGCUUGACUAU
rnacentral:rRNA from 1 species